CCUACGGGCGGUAGCAGUGAGGAAUAUUGGUCAAUGGACGAGAGUCUGAACCAGCCAAGUAGCGUGAAGGAUGACUGACCUAUGGGUUGUAAACUUCUUUUAUAUGGGAAUAAAACAGGGUAUGCAUACCCUUUUGUAUGUACCAUAUGAAUAAGGAUCGGCUAACUCCGUGCCAGCAGCCGCGGUAAUACGGAGGAUCCGAGCGUUAUCCGGAUUUAUUGGGUUUAAAGGGAGCGUAGGUGGAUUGUUAAGUCAGUUGUGAAAGUUUGCGGCUCAACCGUAAAAUUGCAGUUGAAACUGGCAGUCUUGAGUGCAGUAGAGGUUGGCGGAAUGCGUGGUGUAGCGGUGAAAUGCUUAGAUAUCACGCAGAACUCCGAUUGCGAAGGCAGCUCACUAAACUACAACUGACACUGAUGCUCGAAAGUGUGGGUAUCGAACAGGAUUAGAUACCCGUGUAGUC
rnacentral:rRNA from 1 species